AUGGGCCGGUUCGAGCUCUCCCACCGGGUGGUCCUCGCGCCGCUCACGCGCUGCCGCUCCUACGGCAAUGUGCCGCAGCCGCACGCGGCGUUGCACUACUCGCAGCGGGCGACAAAGAGCGGCCUGCUCAUCGCCGAGGCCACCAGCGUCUCCGCCACCGCCCAGGGGUUUCCUGAUACUCCUGGCAUCUGGACGCAGCAGCAGAGUUCCAGCCGGAUGGGCAUGCGCCGAUCUCCAGCACCAACAAUCAUAUACCGCCUGAUGCUGAGUCCGGCACGGUCUACUCGAAGCCUCGACGGCUUCAUACAGAUGAGGUAUGGUGGCAGCCUUGAGAACCGAUGCCGCUUUGCCGUGGAGGUGAUUGAUGCUAUCGUCCAUGAGAUUGGCGCGGAUCGUGUGGGAAUCAGGUUGUCUCCGUUCACUGACUACAUGGAUUGCUUCGAUUCUAAUCCACAUGUGCUCGAUACCUACAUGGUACAACAACUCAAUAAGCACAAAGAGUUUCUUUAUUGCCACAUGGUAGAGCCUCACAUGACCAUUGUGGAUGGUCGCAUGCAGAUACCCCAUGUGCUAUUGCCCUUUAGGAAAGCAUUUAACGACACUUUUAUUGCCGCGGGAGGGUAUGAUCGAGAGGAAGGCAACAAAGUGGUGAUUGAUGGUUAUACUGAUCUCAUUGCCUAUGGGAGGCUAUUUCUUGCUAAUCUGGAUUUUCCUAAGAGAUUCGAGCUAGAUGUCCCCUUGAACAAGUAUGACCGGUCCAUGUUCUACAUGCAGGAUCCUAUCAUUGGUUACACAGAUUAUCCUUUCCUUGAUGACUCAAAUACAGAGUAG
rnacentral:rRNA from 1 species